rnacentral:tRNA from 1 species
AGGGCUGUAGCUCAGUGGUAGAGCACUUGUCUUGUACAUGGGAGGCCCUGGGUUGGAUUCCCAGCACCACAU